GGACCCGCACAAGUAGUGGAGCAUGUGGUUUAAUUCGAAGAUACGCGCAGAACCUUACCAACACUUGACAUGUUCGUCGCGGCUCUAAGAGAUUAGAGCUUUCGGUUCGGCCGGACGAAACACAGGUGCUGCAUGGCUGUCGUCAGCUCGUGUCGUGAGAUGUUGGGUUAAGUCCCGCAACGAGCGCAACCCUCACUUUUAGUUGCCAUCAUUUAGUUGGCACUCUGAAAGAACUGCCAGUGAUAAGCUGGAGGAAGGUGGGAUGACGUCAAGUCCUCAUGGCCCUUACGUGUUGGGCUACACACGUGCUACAAUGGCAUUUACAAUGGGUUAAUCCCCCAAAAACUAUCUCA
rnacentral:rRNA from 1 species